rnacentral:RNase_P_RNA from 1 species
ACUGCAAAAUGGCUUAUCGCUCUUGGCAUUGAUCAAGUGAGGAAAGUCCGGGCAACGCAGGGCUGUGCACCUUCAGAAACGGAGGGUAUCUUAGUAGGAAUGCUGGGAUAACAGAAAGGGUAGCAGAAAACAACCGCCAAGAUUUAUUUCUUGGUAAGGGUGAAAAAGUGAGGUAAGAGCUCACACGCUUAGGUGGUAACAUCUAUUUGGUACAAACCUUGCACGUUGUAAUACCAAGUAAACUAAAGUUUGAGGGCGGCUCGUCCGAUAUCAGCUUGCUGAUUACUUUAGAGGGUAGGUUGCAUAGAUAAAUGAUAAGCAUCCCGAUUUAUCGGGAUACAGAACCCGGCUUAUAGUUUUGCAUUUUUA